rnacentral:rRNA from 1 species
AACGUAGGUGACAAGCGUUAUCCGGAUUUACUGGGCGUAAAGGCGCGUUCAGGCGGUUUGGCAAGUCGGGCAAUGAAACGUCUCCUGGCUCAACCAGGAGGGGCUGUCCGAAUACUUCCAGACUUGAGGGCAGUAGAGGGUGGUGGAAUUCCGGGUGUAGUGGUGAAAUGCGUAGAUAUCGAGAGGAACACCUGCGGCGAAGGCGGGUUGCUGGGCCGACACUGACGCUGAUGCGCGAAGCCAGGGAGCGAACGGG